rnacentral:rRNA from 1 species
AAAGGAUAACAGUUGGAACGACUGCUAUGCCCUAUAUGCCUUUAAUACAUAAGUAUGCAAGGGAAACGCUUUAGUGCUUAAGGAUGGGUCUGUAUGGUAUCAGCUUGUUGGUGAGGUAAUGGCUCACCAAGGCUAUGACGCCUAACUGGUUUGAGAGGAUGAUCAGUCACACUGGAACUGAGACACGGUCCAGACUCCUACGGGAGGCAGCAGUGGGGAAUAUUGCACAAUGGACGAAAGUCUGAUGCAGCAACGCCGCGUGGAGGAUGACACAUUUCGGUGCGUAAACUCCUUUUAUAUAGGAAGAUAAUGACGGUACUAUAUGAAUAAGCACCGGCUAACUCCGUGCCAGCAGCCGCGGUAAUACGGAGGGUGCAAGCGUUACUCGGAAUCACUGGGCGUAAAGAGCGUGUAGGCGGGUAUAUAAGUCAGAAGUGAAAUCCUAUAGCUUAACUAUAGAACUGCUUUUGAAACUGUAUACCUAGAAUGUGGGAGAGGUAGAUGGGAAUUUUCUGGUGUAGGGGGUAAAAUUCCGUAGAGAUCAGAAAGGAAUACCGGAUUGCGAAGGCCGAUCUACUGGAACCAUUAUUGACGCUGAGACGCGAAAGCGUGGGGAGCAAACAGGGAUUAGGAUACCCCUGGUAGUCCACGCCCUAAACGAUGUACACUAGUUGGUUGUGAGGCUCGACCCUUGCAGUAAUGCAGUUAACACAUUAAGGUGUACCGCCUGGGGGAGUACGGGUCGCAAGAUUAAAACUCAAGGGAAUAGACGGGGACCCGCACAAGCGGUGGAGCAUGUGGUUUAAUUCGACGAUACACGAAGGACCUUACCUGGACUUGACAUAGUAAGAACUUUCUAGAGAUAGAUUGGUGUCUGCUUGCAGAAACUUAUAUACAGGUGCUGCACGGCUGUCGUCAGCUCGUGUCGUGAGAUGUUGGGUUAAGUCCCGCAACGAGCGCAACCCUCGUCAUUAGUUGCUAACAGUUCGGCUGAGAACUCUAAUGAGACUGCCUACGCAAGUAGGAGGAAGGUGAGGACGACGUCAAGUCAUCAUGGCCCUUACGUCCAGGGCUACACACGUGCUACAAUGGGGUAUACAAAGAGCAGCAAUACGGUGACGUGGAGCAAAUCUCAAAAAUAUCUCCCAGUUCGGAUUGUAGUCUGCAACUCGACUACAUGAAGUUGGAAUCGCUAGUAAUCGUAGAUCAGCUAUGCUACGGUGAAUACGUUCCCGGGUCUUGUA